GGAACUGAUAGCAAAAUUCCUUGAACUUUGCAUGGGGAUAAUAAAAUAUGAGCUGUACAACAGAUGAUGGUAAUUCAAAUACUGCGUUCUUUCAGAAAGAGAUGAUCAUAGCCAGUGGCAUACCAGUUUCCCCUUUCUAAACAUUAUCAGGAGAUGGUAAUCAGGUAAAAGAACAGUGAUUGCAUCAGAUGUCAGACAGGAACUGGCUAUUAUAAAGGAGAGAGCAAGAUGGGGAGAGGAAAUAGAAGAAAGAAAAGGUCGCUGCAGAGUGGAGAGUUGUCAUUAGCAGAAAAGCAGCAGGGUGAACUCAACCUGCCAAAAAAGGUUGUAUUUCGAAUUCAAAGACAAACUCAAGUUAUGAGAGAAACGAGUGAGGUCAUUUAGUAUUCUUACAACUGCCUAGGUUCUGCACUGUCUCAAAUGAAGGUUGGCGUGUGUAAGAAACCAAUAAAAAUGAGAACACUUGCACUGCUGGGGAGCGGCAUGGGCAGAGGGCCCUGGCGGGAGGCGAGGGGUGAGAGGCGGGUGGUGCUGGGCAGGCAGGGCUGUGCCAUCACCCCAUGGAGCACUCCUUCCCUGCCACGGCACCACGGGCAGAGCUGUCCCAGGUAGCUGGGCUCAGACAGCCCCGACAGACUGACAAAUCUGCAGUGACCGGGCAGGCCCAAGCUCAGGCCGACACGGCUGGCCCACAGGUGGGAUCCACGGUCAGGUACUGGCCCCAGGGCCUCAGCUUAGAGCAGCUCCCAGGGAAAUUGGGCUCAGCCCUGACUGAGGCAUCUUCUAGUCACAAAAAACCUCUGUGCCAAAGAGGUAUGGUCUGGAGAUGUGAACUGGCGAUUGGCAACGGGACCAAAGUUUCCCAGUGACUGAGCUCACACAAAGGCUGUAGUAGUCUGCUGGUUGCAUUGCCCCUUUCACAAGUCAGAAGGAGAAAGAUGGAAUAAGAAGGUGAUUGUCUGACAGAAGUUGUGUUAUGAUGUGCUUUCUCUUAACAUCUCUUAACAAAGGCAAUGUGACACCACCAAAAUUAGCUUUAAUGGAGGAAAAAAAGUAAGGUAUAGUAGUAAUAUGUGUCAAAAUGGAGGCAGAUGAAACAAGGCCUUAUGAUUGACCUUUGAAUUUUAGUAUGAGCAAUUUCAAUGGAGUAGUGAGAACAGAAGGCAGACUGGUUAUUUUUCUUUUAGAAAUCUAAUAAGUAAUAAGGUG
rnacentral:lncRNA from 1 species